rnacentral:tRNA from 1 species
AAGGACUUAGCUUAAUCAAAGUAAUUGGUUUGCAUCCAAUUGAUGUAGGAUAAAGUCUUGCAGUCCUUAU